rnacentral:rRNA from 1 species
UACAGAGGUCUCAAGCGUUUGUUCGGAUUCAUUGGGCGUAAAGGGUGCGUAGGCGGCGCGGUAAGUCGGGUGUGAAAUCUCGGAGCUUAACUCCGAAACUGCAUUCGAUACUGCCGUGCUUGAGGACUGGAGAGGAGACUGGAAUUUACGGUGUAGCGGUGAAAUGCGUAGAUAUCGUAAGGAAGACCAGUGGCGAAGGCGGGUCUCUGGACAGUUCCUGACGCUGAGGCACGAAGGUCAGGGGGAGCAAACGGGAUUAGAACCGACCAGU